GUGUCAAUUCAACAAAAUCAAGCAUCCAUGAUGAUUGCUAUAAACUUUUAAGGGUUCCACUUUAAAACCCUAGUGGAACCCUUUUAAGCGAUAGUGUUUAGUUGAAUGCUCUUUAAAGACAGCAAUCUAAAUCUCAAAUAUCUCCAAGUACCUGCAGAGGAGCAAACCAUACACCUAGGAAUCACUGUGUUGGUAUUGGAAGAAUGAAGAAUCAAUGAAGAAAAGCAGGCUUGUGACUUUUGCACAACACAACAUCCUUUCCGCACUUUUUAUCAAACUGCUCAUGUGUCGUCAUCCAUUAACUCAAGCUUCUAAUAGCUACUGACCAAAGCACUACCCGUAAGUGCAUCCAACCCCAGCCUAAGUUUAAUGCCAACCCAUGAUUUUUUUUUUCACCUCAUAAACCUCUAUAAUCUCACAAAGCACCUUAAUUAACAUGGAAAUGUAACCUUAUCUGGCACCAAACUUAGCCUUCACUUUUUUUUUUUAUAAAAUGC
rnacentral:misc_RNA from 1 species